rnacentral:rRNA from 1 species
GUGGGGAAUAUUGGACAAUGGGCGCAAGCCUGAUCCAGCCAUGCCGCGUGAGUGAUGAAGGCCUUAGGGUUGUAAAGCUCUUUCACCGGUGAAGAUAAUGACGGUAACCGGAGAAGAAGCCCCGGCUAACUUCGUGCCAGCAGCCGCGGUAAUACGAAGGGGGCUAGCGUUGUUCGGAAUUACUGGGCGUAAAGCGCACGUAGGCUGAUAUUUAAGUCAGGGGUGAAAUCCCGGGGCUCAACCCCGGAACUGCCUUUGAUACUGGGUAUCUUGAGUAUGGAAGAGGUAAGUGGAAUUCCGAGUGUAGAGGUGAAAUUCGUAGAUAUUCGGAGGAACACCAGUGGCGAAGGCGGCUUACUGGUCCAUUACUGACGCUGAGGUGCGAAAGCGUGGGGAGCAAACAGGAUUAGAAACCCGGGUAGUCC